rnacentral:misc_RNA from 1 species
GGAAGGGGCCGUGGGCGUGGUCGUUCUUUCAGGUCCGAGGGCCCUGCUCAAGCAGGAGCUGCCUGAGCGGCAUCUGUGGGAAAACUAUAAUGUAGGUGUGCAGUUGAAAAAUGAUACUUGGAUGCCUGCUCUGCUUGUGUUUUGGUGAAUUUGGUGAUAAUUUAUGGGCAUUGUCUUAAAAGUUUGAAGUUGUGAAAGUGUUGGAGCCAUGGUGCUUACAGUUUUGUCUCUCUGUAGGUUGUGGUGUAGGAUUAUUUUUGUAGUUAUUAUUGCUGAUCAGGUGCUUAGCAUGCUGGGCAAGGUUGUACAUGCAUUUUUUUUUCCUAUAUAGGAAUGAUAGAGCAGUACAUUCUUUUAUUCUUAAUAACAAAAAUAGAAGCUGCAUACUGAUGUUAACGGUGCAUCGUAUUAAUUC